rnacentral:rRNA from 1 species
GACGAACGCUGGCGGCGUGCUUAACACAUGCAAGUCGAGCGGUAAGGCCCUUCGGGUACACGAGCGGCGAACGGGUGAGUAACACGUGGGUGACCUGCCCUUAGCUCUGGGAUAAGCCUGGGAAACUGGGUCUAAUACCGGAUAUGACCUCAUGACGCAUGUUGUGGGGUGGAAAGCCUUGUGCGGCUAGGGGAUGGGCCCGCGGCCUAUCAGCUUGUUGGUGGGGUGAUGGGCCACCAAGGCGACGACGGGUAGCCGGCCUGAGAGGGCGACCGGCCACACUGGGACUGAGACACGGCCCAGACUCCUACGGGAGGCAGCAGUGGGGAAUCUUGCGCAAUGGGCGAAAGCCUGACGCAGCGACGCCGCGUGAGGGAUGACGGCCU